rnacentral:siRNA from 1 species
GGACCGACGCGGAUUACGG